rnacentral:rRNA from 1 species
GAUGAACGCUGGCGGCGUGCCUAAUACAUGCAAGUCGAGCGAACGGACGAGAAGCUUGCUUCUCUGAUGUUAGCGGCGGACGGGUGAGUAACACGUGGAUAACCUACCUAUAAGACUGGGAUAACUUCGGGAAACCGGAGCUACUACCGGAUAAUAUUUUGAACCGCAUGGUUCAAAAGUGAAAGACGGUCUUGCUGUCACUUAUAGAUGGAUCCGCGCUGCAUUAGCUAGUUGGUAAGGUAACGGCUUACCAAGGCAACGAUGCAUAGCCGACCUGAGAGGGUGAUCGGCCACACUGGAACUGAGACACGGUCCAGACUCCUACGGGAGGCAGCAGUAGGGAAUAUUCCGCAAUGGGCGAAAGCCUGACGGAGCAACGCCGCGUGAGUGAUGAAGGUCUUCGGAUCGUAAAACUCUGUUAUUAGGGAAGAACAUAUGUGUAAGUAACUGUGCACAUCUUGACGGUACCUAAUCAGAAAGCCACGGCUAACUACGUG